UACUGAUGUACAAAUAAAAUCUCGCCUAUGAGCUUAAAACAAUAGGACGAGGCUGGUAGACGUGGCAUCUUGUCUCGUUAUUACUUGAUCUAGAGCUUUAUUUUGAUUGUUUAGACAAAGUGACCAUAAUAAUUAUAUAACAAUGCUUAUGUGAGGUAGAAUUCAUCUGGUUUACUGAUUUUCGCAUUUGAUAAAACUUUUCCAGCGCAAGUGAUUUCAACCUGUAACAAUAAAGACGCAGCCAUACUAAUAAUGCAUGGAGCUUAACCCAAGAGACAAAGAUAUUUUCCUCUAAACUCCUGACGUGUCCACAGUCUAGCUGACUGCUGACGUAUUGACCUGGUUUCGGUAUGGUUUGCGUGUUCUCAUCGCGUGUUUGGGAAUUCCCUGACCCACAUACGUCAAAAUUAGGCUGUAUGGUAAGGGAAGCAACUGGAAUAUUGCCGUGCGCUUCAGGUACCAAAUAAAAAUAGAAAAUAAAUAGCAGUAAAGCAUAUCCUUACAAUUCUAUGGGUUUAAAAAAAGUCGUAUUUUAAACGUAUUGUUUUUUAAAUAAACUGGAUUUCGAUUAUAAAUCUGAUUUCGUUCUUAUUACUUUUUUCUCUAUAAUUUUCCAUUGAUUGGAGUAUGCAUUUCAUGAUUUUCAUGAUUUGGUAGUGAAAAAAAAGCUACCGUUAGUAGUGAAAAAAACCCACUGAGGAUUUUUUUUUAGUAUAAUAAGUAAAGAAAAUUCAGACAUUCUUUUAGCACAUCAAACGGUUAAAAGUUACAACAAGAAAAUUCUAGAACAUUUAAAUUCUAGAUUUAAAAUUACGUGUUCGUUUUACCGUUAACGGUUAACGAAACCUCUUACGUCAGCAAUCACGAGAAGGAACAGCUAAUCUGCUGAGCUAAAAUUAGAUUCACGCAAUACCGAAAGGGGUUUCUUUGACCUACAUAGGCAAAGAGCCAUAGCGGGUUAUAGUAAAAAGCGUUACAGAGAAUUAACGCAUUUGUUAACAUUUCCAGCAACACUACAAUUUUAAAAAAACAAGUUAUCUUAAUUAGUCCAUAGAAUUCUCAUCAAAGUGGUAUCUGAAAUUAAAAAUGAAUCUAAUUUUUAAAAUUGUUCAAAAAUAGUUACAAGGGAGUUAAUCAUAUUAAUAUUAACAAUGCUUAUCUUAAAAUGAAAUAUAUUUAG